rnacentral:rRNA from 1 species
GGAAUCUUAGACAAUGGGGGAAACCCUGAUCUAGCCAUGCCGCGUGAUCGAUGAAGGCCUUAGGGUUGUAAAGAUCUUUCAGUGGGGAAGAUAAUGACGGUACCCACAGAAGAAGCCCCGGCUAACUCCGUGCCAGCAGCCGCGGUAAUACGGAGGGGGCUAGCGUUAGUCGGAAUUACUGGGCGUAAAGCGCACGUAGGCGGACUGGAAAGUUGGGGGUGAAAGCCCAGGGCUCAACCCUGGAACUGCCUUCAAAACUCCCAGUCUUGAGGUCGAGAGAGGUGAGUGGAAUUCCGAGUGUAGAGGUGAAAUUCGUAGAUAUUCGGAGGAACACCAGUGGCGAAGGCGGCUCACUGGCUCGAUACUGACGCUGAGGUGCGAAAGCGUGGGGAGCAAA